rnacentral:rRNA from 1 species
CCCUUAGAUGUUCUGGGCUGCACGCGCGCUACACUGAUGCGAUCAACAAGUUUUUCCUAUGUCGAUAGACACGGGUAAUCUUUUGAACUCGCAUCGUGAUGGGGAUAGAUUAUUGUAAUUAUUAAUCUUCAACGAGGAAUUCCUAGUAGGUGCAAAUCAUCAGUUUGCAUCGAUUACGUCCCUGCCCUUUGUACACACCGCCCGUCGCUGCUACCGAUUGGUUGAUCUGGUGAAUUAUUCGGACUGCCGGCUGAAGGGGUUUCCUCAUCUGCCAGCGGAAAGUCUUGUUAACCCUCUCAACUAGAGGAAGCAGAAGUCGUAACA